rnacentral:rRNA from 1 species
AGUGAACGCUGGCGGUAGGCCUAACACAUGCAAGUCGAACGGUAGCACAGUAAGAGCUUGCUCUUACGGGUGGCGAGUGGCGGACGGGUGAGGAAUACAUCGGAAUCUACUUUUUCGUGGGGGAUAACGUAGGGAAACUUACGCUAAUACCGCAUAAUGCCUACGGGUGAAAGCAGGGGAUCUUUGGACCUUGCGCGAUUGAAUGAGCCGAUGUCGGAUUAGCUAGUUGGCGGGGUAAAGGCCCACCAAGGCGACGAUCCGUAGCUGGUCUGAGAGGAUGACCAGCCACACUGGAACUGAGACACGGCCCAGACUCCUACGGGAGGCAGCAGUGGGGAAUAUUGGACAAUGGGCGCAAGCCUGAUCCAGCCAUGCCGCGUGGGUGAAGAAGGCCUUCGGGUUGUAAAGCCCUUUUGUCAGGAAAGAAAAGCAGCACGUUAAUACCCCGCGGUUCUGACGGUACCCAAAGAAUAAGCACCGGCUAACUUCGUG